rnacentral:rRNA from 1 species
AGGUUAAGUCAGUUGUGAAAGUUUGCGGCUCAACCGUAAAAUUGCAGUUGAUACUGGCCUGCUUGAGUGCGGCAGAGGCAGGCGGAAUUUGUGGUGUAGCGGUGAAAUGCUUAGAUAUCACGAAGAACUCCGAUUGCGAAGGCAGCUUGCUGGAGCGUAACUGACGCUGAUGCUCGAAAGUGCGGGUAUCAAACAGGAUCAGAUACCCUGGUAGUCCGCACAGUAAACGAUGGACACUCGCUGUUGGCGAUACACGGUCAGCGGCUUAGCGAAAGCGUUAAGUGUCCCACCUGGGGAGUACGCCGGCAACGGUGAAACUCAAAGGAAUUGACGGGGGCCCGCACAAGCGGAGGAACAUGUGGUUUAAUUCGAUGAUACGCGAGGAACCUUACCCGGGCUUGAAUUGCACUGGACUGUAGUGGAAACAUUACUUUCUUCGGACCAGUGUGAAGGUGCUGCAUGGUUGUCGUCAGCUCGUGCCGUGAGGUGUCGGCUUAAGUGCCAUAACGAGCGCAACCCCUGUUUCCAGUUGCUAGCAGGUCAAGCUGUGGACUCUGGAGAGACUGCCGUCGUAAGAUGCGAGGAAGGCGGGGAUGACGUCAAAUCAGCACGGCCCUUACGUCCGGGGCUACACACGUGUUACAAUGGGGGGUACAGCAGGCCGCUACCUGGUGACAGGAUGCCAAUCCGUAAAGCCCCUCUCAGUUCGGACUGGAGUCUGCAACCCGACUCCACGAAGCUGGAUUCGCUAGUAAUCGCGCA